rnacentral:rRNA from 7 species
AGUCAUACGCUCGUCUCAAAGAUUAAGCCAUGCAUGUGUAAGUAUAAAUAUUUAACUUUGAAACUGCGAAUGGCUCAUUAUAUCAGUUAUAGUUUAUUUGAUGAAAAGUACUACUUGGAUAACCGUAGUAAUUCUAGAGCUAAUACAUGAUAAAAUCCUCGACUUUGAAGAGGUGUAUUUAUUAGAAUGAAACCAAUAGACUUCGGUCUGUUUGUGAGUAAUAAUAACUAAUCGUAUCGCAUGCUUAGGUAGCGAUAUGUCUUUCAAGUUUCUGCCCUAUCAGCUUUGGAUGGUAGUGUAUUGGACUACCAUGGCAGUAACGGGUAACGAAGAAUUUGGGUUCGAUUUCGGAGAGGGAGCCUGAGAGAUGGCUACCACAUCCAAGGAAGGCAGCAGGCGCGUAAAUUACCCAAUCCUGACAUAGGGAGGUAGUGACAAUAAAUCACAAUGCGGAACUAUUAGUUUUGCAAUUGGAUUGAGAACAAUGUACAAAUGUUAUCGAUAAACAAUUGGAGGGCAAGUCUGGUGCCAGCAGCCGCGGUAAUUCCAGCUCCAAUAGCGUAUAUUAA